AAGAGUUACCAACACGGGUAGAGUCGUGUCGUAAAUUACACGCGGAGAAAGCAUCGAAAAUUUGUUUAUUCGCAUUGUUUCUGUUAGAAGUGUGCGAGAUCGAGUCGUAUUCGUUCUAAUAUGCGUUGCUCCUCGAUAAGAGAAAGAUGAAGACGAUAGAGGGAAAAGUUGUGGCUUUAGGUUCCCAAGGCGUUGGAAAGACAAGUAUGAUCAUACGUUAUGUCAAAAAAGCGUUCAACGAACAUGCAAGUCCCACGAUUGGCGCGUCUUUCUUCUCGUGCAAGCUCAACUUGUUGAACGCAAGAGUAAUGCUACAGGUCUGGGACACUGCGGGACAGGAACGAUAUAGAUCGAUGGCGCCUAUGUACUACCGCAACGCUAAUGCAGCUAUGUUGGUGUUUGAUUUGACACAGUACAACACAUUCGCAGCGAUGAAAAAAUGGGUGGCAGAGCUUCGCAGAAACGUCGAAGAGACGAUGGUGUUAGCGGUGAUCGGUAAUAAAUCGGAUCUGUUUAACGAGCGGCAGGUCAACAGCGAGGAGGGCAGAGUUUACGCAAUGGAAAUUGGCGCAAGUUACCACGAGACGUCGGUUCUCGAGGACGAAGGGAUCGAAAGUGUGUUCACACACAUUGGCAUGGGUUUGCUUGGAUUAUCUUUGACCGAUCACGACGCUACGUCGAUUAAAGUGUACGAAUCAACGAACUCGGACUGGAACGACAUCAGUACUUACGUACCACACCUCGAGGAAAGUCCCCAGAACCUCAGUAUUGCUCAUGGAAUACAUGAGAAUACGUACACAUGUUGCUAGUCCUUUUCUCUUGUUCACGGCUCAGUUAUAGGCACUAAAGCCACCGAUUUCUACAGAAUGGAUGCUAGACGAGGCUUUUAAUACGUUCAUUGUCCACGUAAUUUUUCAGUAAGACGAUAAAGAUAUUAAUUCUGAAAAGAAACUAAAUUCGGAUAUAAUUUAGAAAUUUCGAUGAAGUUACUGAAAUAAGCACCAUCAUAAAUGUUCGAUUAAGCUCUCGAUUAUUCAGAAAUAAAAUAUUGAUCUCGUAGAACAUUUAUUGGAUUUGGCCGGGCAUUCACGUGUUAAAUCUAAGGAUGUUGUGUCGUAUUCGAGGAAUAAACCAUCAGCGCCAUCUGAACAGCGCUGAAGCUCAACGAAACCUGAUCGUAGCCGAUAAGGAAAAAGUGUCGAUAAAACAGAAGGAAGCGAGGCACAGACGAUUGUUAUAUGAGGAUAUCGGUUGGUUCAAAAAUGGCCGACGCGGACAUUCUGUCGCGAGUCGAGGUGUCAGGUUUGACGGAAUGCGAGGAACAAUGCACGAAAAACGAACAUAAUUGCAAAGCAUUUACAUUUGGCGUGGGCGUGAAAGGAAAUGGAAGCUGCGAGAUCAGUACACGAGUACCGAUGCUCGAGAAUUUAGAGACCCAUCCUGAUUACGAUGUCUACUUGAAAAAGCGACAAGGCUCGCCAUGGUGUGACGCCGACCGUCCUUAUGCUAGAGGUUUCGUGCAAGAGAACGAAAGUCGUU